rnacentral:rRNA from 1 species
CGGCGUCGCAGCAGUGUUAAGAAUGCAAGUCGAGCGCUGAUUACAGGGUAGCAAUAUUCUGUAGUCGGAGCGGCGCAAGGGCGCGUAACACGUGGGUAAUCUGCCAUGAAGUUUGGAAUAACUCGCUGAAAGGCGAGCUAAUGCCGGAUGUGAAAACCGAGGGGCAUCUCUAGGUUUUCAAAGCUGGGGACCGUAAGGCCUGGCGCUUCAUGAUGAGCCCGCGGCCUAUCAGCUAGUUGGUGAGGUAACGGCUCACCAAGGCUAAGACGGGUAGCUGGUCUGAGAGGACGACCAGCCACACUGGAACUGAGACACGGUCCAGACACCUACGGGUGGCAGCAGUCGAGAAUUUUUCACAAUGGGCGAAAGCCUGAUGGAGCGACGCCGCGUGGGGGAUGAAUGGCUUCGGCCCGUAAACCCCUGUCAUUUGCGAUCAACCGUUAUUAUUUAAAAGAUGAUAACCUGAUAGUAGCGAAAGAGGAAGGGACGGCUAACUCUGUGCCAGCAGCCGCGGUAAUACAGAGGUCCCAAGCGUUGUUCGGAUUCACUGGGCGUAAAGGGUGCGUAGGUGGCGGAGUAAGUCGGAUGUGAAAUCUCCGAGCUCAACUCGGAAACUGCAUUGGAAACUACUCUGCUCGAGGGUUGGAGGGGGGACUGGAAUACUUGGUGUAGCAGUGAAAUGCGUAGAUAUCAAGUGGAACACCAGUGGCGAAGGCGAGUCCCUGGACAACUCCUGACACUGAGGCACGAAAGCUAGGGGAGCAAACAGGAUUAGAUACCCUGGUAGUCCUAGCCGUAAACGGUGCAUGUUUGCUGUAAAAGGAAUCGACCCCUUUUGUGGCGUAGCCAACGCGUUAAACAUGCCGCCUGGGAAGUACGGUCGCAAGAUUA